UCCUCGGUAGUAUAGUGGUCAGUAUCCCCGCCUGUCACGCGGGAGACCGGGGGUUCGAUUCCCCGCCGGGGUA
rnacentral:tRNA from 1 species